GCGCACGGGUGAGUAACGCGUAUGUAAUCUGCCUUGUACAGAGGGAUAGCCCAGAGAAAUUUGGAUUAAUACCUCAUAGUAUUACUGGAUCGCAUGAUUUGGUAAUUAAAGCUCCGGCGGUACAAGAUGAACAUGCGUGACAUUAGCUAGUUGGUAAGGUAACGGCUUACCAAGGCUACGAUGUCUAGGGGUUCUGAGAGGAUGAUCCCCCACACUGGUACUGAGACACGGACCAGACUCCUACGGGAGGCAGCAGUGAGGAAUAUUGGUCAAUGGACGCAAGUCUGAACCAGCCAUCCCGCGUGAAGGAUGACUGCCCUAUGGGUUGUAAACUUCUUUUAUAUGCAAAUAAACCUACUUUCGUGAAAGUAGCUGAAGGUAGCAUAUGAAUAAACACCGGCUAACUCCGUGCCAGCAGCCGCGGUAAUACGGAGGGUGUAAGCGUU
rnacentral:rRNA from 1 species